GAUGAACGCUGGCGGCGUGCCUAAUACAUGCAAGUCGAGCGAACAGACGAGGAGCUUGCUCCUCUGACGUUAGCGGCGGACGGGUGAGUAACACGUGGAUAACCUACCUAUAAGACUGGGAUAACUUCGGGAAACCGGAGCUAAUACCGGAUAAUAUAUUGAACCGCAUGGUUCAAUAGUGAAGGACGGUUUUGCUGUCACUUAUAGAUGGAUCCGCGCCGCAUUAGCUAGUUGGUAAGGUAACGGCUUACCAAGGCAACGAUGCGUAGCCGACCUGAGAGGGUGAUCGGCCACACUGGAACUGAGACACGGUCCAGACUCCUACGGGAGGCAGCAGUAGGGAAUCUUCCGCAAUGGGCGAAAGCCUGACGGAGCAACGCCGCGUGAGUGAUGAAGGUCUUCGGAUCGUAAAACUCUGUUAUUAGGGAAGAACAAAUGUGUAAGUAACUGUGCACGUCUUGACGGUACCUAAUCAGAAAGCCACGGCUAACUACGUG
rnacentral:rRNA from 1 species